UUUUUUUUUUUUUUCACUAAAAGAUAAUUUACUCAGAAUGAACAUUUAUUGGAAUUUUUUUUUUUUUGUAAGAGAUAGGCAUAGUGUUUCAAAGAUGCCUCCUUGUGUGAAUAUACAAAACAGUGGGCCCAUUGGACCAGUCGCAUCUACCUUCUUCAGAAUUCACCACAGUACAGUUUGGUUACUGAUGAGAGACUGAUUUGUUUCUGAGAUCAGCUUGAGGAGAAAAAGAAAUGCCUCAUCUCACAGUAUGAAAAAGCCAUCUAAUAUUUACUUCUGAAAAAACUGAGCAUCUGGUUAUACGAAAGGUUUGAGAAUUUUAAUGAUUCCCCCAAAUUCAACCCUUUAUCGAACCAAUUUAUUUAGGGAUCUUAAGGUUAAUAAUAUAGUUAUAUCCAGGUACAAGUUUAUCCUAUGUAUAUAAACGAACAUUAAAAAAUUCAAGAUACCUUUUGUAACAGAAUUAGAAGUUUAGUAGUUGAACAUAGCGAAAGAAAAUGUGGAAUAGUCUAUUAAAUAUAACUUCUUUUUUUCAAAUUGCCAAAAGAAGCGUAAAUGACCAGCGAAGUUUUAGAACUCUGUAAGUACAAGACUGCUAAUGGGUCAAAAAUAAGAAAAUUUCAUUUUUACGUCUUCGAGAAACUUCUGAGGAAUACCCACUGAGUCACUGUAAAAAGCAGCAUCUUCAUAAUUCAGCCAAACAUGGGAGUUCUCUCAAAUGAGAAAGAUAAGCUGCGAACUGGGGUUGACCUCAGGGCUGUUCAAAAGCCUCCGUUGAUUUAAGUCAAUAAGGUGAAAAUGGUAAGCAGCUGUUUUGUUAACAACAUAGAAAAGGAAAAUGAAAGAUGCUGAUUCAAAUCAAAUUGGAAAAUGUUGAAAAUAGGUUAAUUUAUCUACCUUGGAAAUAAAUGGAAGUUAUAUUAAUUCCGCCUUUAAAAGGUGUAUAAUAAAGCACACCAGAUCAUUGGGAAUAAAUACAGAAGGAUAAAGGAAUGAAACAUUUGUCCAGGAUAUGUGGGGCUGUUUGUAAGGACUGAGUUUGAAUAAACAAUAACAAAAUAUCUUUCAUUAUAGGAAGUGACUGUUCUAUGCAAGUAAUGGCAGCAUUUUGCAUUCCUAAAGUUAAAAAUAAUGAAAUGAAUUUUGGACACAGAAACACACACCAGAGGUCAUUCGUAUGGAGAAAAAAAAAAAAAGUGAAUUGUAGGAUAGAAUUCCUGAGACAGAUAGACCCUGGAUCUGAUCUUAUCAAGAAAUUCUUAUGGUCUUUCCCCCCACCUCGUCCUGGAAUUUAGUUCAAUAAAAGUUCCUAAAAACAAACAGAAUGAAUCAGAGUCACUGAGUAUAGCCACAGGCUGGCGGGAAAUGAGCUUCUAUCAAUCCCAGGUUCAUCGAGGCACUUGUAACAAACCAUUAACUGCAUUUCAAAAAAAACCCCACAUUUUUCGAAGGGUGAGAUCAACCAAAAAUGUGAUCAGACCCCUCUCACUAAGAACUGCAUCGGACAUGAGACAAGCAGUAGCACAGAGAGAGCCCGAACGGGAAAAGUGGUGCCCAGAGUUACACAGAUGCAAAGUGUGUCUGCAGACCUUUCGUUUCUUUGUCUGCUUUGACUUGUUAAAGACGCUAGUUUUCAUUCUCUAUGCCACGGGACCUAGGAAGUCUGUGCAGCAUCUCUUGACAGGAUUCUUUUAAGUCAGUGGGGACAUUUCCGGCAUUCCUUGUUUCUAUCAGGUUCAGGUACCUAAAGCUUGUUGUUUACAGAGCAUGGAUGUCAUCUCACUGUUCCACUUCCUCUCCAAUGGUUGGAUAAGCAGUGAUUCAAUUAUUUGAUAGGCUAGUGGCCAGUGGCAAUGCAGUGGAGGCCCACAGUAUUGAUCUUUGAUGGUGUGUGCAAUGAUUUGAUUUGGGGGGAUAUGGUGAUGGGGCUUGGGAAGAGAGCAGGCAGCAUAAAAACUGUCCGUGCUCUAAUGGCAGUUUUCAACUGGUAGGCCCAUGGGAAGGUCAUCUUGAAUUCCACAGGAGAGAGAAGUGUUCUCAUAGAAU
ensembl:lncRNA